AACGCGAAGAACCUUACCUGGGUUUGACAUGGACGUGGUAGCCGGGGCGAAAGCUCUGGCGACCCGCAAGGGAGCGUUCACAGGUGCUGCAUGGCUGUCGUCAGCUCGUGUCGUGAGAUGUUCGGUUAAGUCCGGCAACGAGCGCAACCCUCGCCUCCAGUUACCAGCGAGUAAAGUCGGGGACUCUGGAGGGACUAACCCGUUAGGGUGGGAAGGUGGGGAUGACGUCAAGUCAGUAUGGCCCUUACAUCCAGGGCUGCACACGUGCUACAAUGCCUGGUACAAAAGGAUCCGAUGCCGCGAGGCGGAGGAAAUCCCCAAGGCCAGGCCCAGUUCAGAUUGGAGUCUGCAACUCGACUCCAUGAAGCCGGAAUCGCUAGUAAUGGUAGAUCAGCUACGCUACCGUGAAUACGUUCCCGGGUCUUGUACACACCG
rnacentral:rRNA from 1 species